CAGCAACGGCAAGUAGCGAAAAGCGUAAUCCCUAGAGUUCAACUUUUUUCAUUUCUUCAAAGCCCCCUCUGACCCACCCCCGGGCGUCUCUCUCUCUCUCUCUCCCUGAAUCACUGCAGUCCCUCGCCGUCGCCGGUGGCAGCCUUCGUCACACAGGAAUGAUAUUGGUCUACCCAGCAAAAGCACUGCAGUUGUUUCUGCUUCAGGGUCAUCUGAAAGGUCUUCAGUGGCCACUUGGGAUGGGUGAGAUCUAUUGCAUUUGAUCCAAAUAUGGGAUGUGGAAAGUGGAAGGCUAAAACUCACACUAACAGGACACAUUGAACAAAUACGAGGCCUUGUUGUCGGCAGCAAACAUACUAACAUGUUUUCUGCUGGUGCUGACAAACUAGUUAAAUGUGGGGACCUUGAGCAGAACAAGUUAGAACCUCCAUGAAAUAAAAAACUUCAAUGCUCUGUUGUAUUAGGUAACAAUUAGUGGAGCCAUACUAUAUGUUUCUGCUCACUUAGCAUGUAAUUUGUCACAUAGAGGUAGUGUGAAGCAGCCCGGGUUUGUCACAUAGAGGUAGUGUGAACUGACGUGGUAUUCAUCUCCUCUCUCUUUGCUCUCUUUUUCUUUUUUAAUGUUUAUAUUUUCCAGUCAUCUCCUGUAAAACAAUAAAUUGUUUGAAAAUAUAUUCAACUAAAUGUUAUAUAGCUCAUACUUCAGCUAAA